rnacentral:rRNA from 1 species
CCUACGGGAGGCAGCAGUGGGGAAUCUUGCGCAAUGGGCGAAAGCCUGACGCAGCAACGCCGCGUGCGGGAAGAAGGCUCUCGGGUUGUAAACCGCUUUCAGCAGGAACGAAAAUGACGGUACUUGCAGAAGAAGGUGCGGCCAACUACGUGCCAGCAGCCGCGGUGACACGUAGGCACCAAGCGUUGUCCGGAUUUAUUGGGCGUAAAGAGCUCGUAGGCGGUUCGGUAAGUCAGGUGUGAAAACUUUGGGCUCAACCCAAAGCCUGCAUCUGAUACUGCUGUGACUAGAGUUCGGUAGGGGAGCGGGGAAUUCCUAGUGUAGCGGUGAAAUGCGCAGAUAUUAGGAGGAACACCGGUGGCGAAGGCGCCGCUCUGGGCCGAAACUGACGCUGAGGAGCGAAAGCGUGGGUAGCAAACAGGAUUAGAUACCCUGGUAGUCCACGCCGUAAACGUUGGGCACUAGGUGUGGGGUCUCAACCAACGAGAUCCGCGCCGUCGCUAACGCAUUAAGUGCCCCGCCUGGGGAGUACGGCCGCAAAGGUUAAAACUCAAAUGAAAUUGAACCGGUNUGAGAGUGCGAGGACGACGACGAGGGAGAGG